rnacentral:rRNA from 1 species
CGAACGUUAGCGGCGCGCCUAACACAUGCAAGUCGCACGAGAAAGGGAGCAAUCCCCGGUACAGUGGCGCACGGGUGAGUAACACGUAGAUGACCUUCCCUGGAGUGGUGGAUAACCUGCCGAAAGGCGGGCUAAUACAGCAUGGGACCACAUGGUUUUGACCGAGUGGUGAAAGCGGGCCUCUGUUCACAAGCUCGCGCUCUGGGAUGGGUCUGCGUCCCAUCAGCCAGUUGGUGAGGUAAUGGCUCACCAAGGCAUCGACGGGUAGCUGGUCUGAGAGGAUGACCAGCCACACUGGAACUGAGACACGGUCCAGACUCCUACGGGAGGCAGCAGUGGGGAAUCUUGCGCAAUGGGCGAAAGCCUGACGCAGCGACGCCGCGUGGGUGAUGAAGGCCUUCGGGUUGUAAAGCCCUGUGGGGAGGAACGAACCGUACGGGGGCGAACACCCUCCGUACCUGACGGUACCUCCUUAGCAAGCAUCGGCUAACUCUGUG